rnacentral:lncRNA from 1 species
UUAUGCCCCAAGCUAGGCCAUCACGCUUGUUGAAAAAGCCUUCAAAGAGCUCCCUAUGGCCGAAGCCGAAUUGCCAUGCCUGUAAAGCCUCGGUUGACCGAUAUGCCCCUAUAGGCAGAAGGCUCCAAGCCUCAGAGGGAGAGUAUGUCCAUGUAGGUGGAAAACUCUAAGAAAAUCCUGGAUGAGUUACCAUGCCCCGAGUUGGGUCACCAUGCCAAUAAAAUCUCGACUAAUUAGUACACCCACAUAGAUGGAAGGCUCCGAGCCUCAGGGGG